AAGAGCCGCGACGGGCGGCCCCGCACGUCCUCCCGCCCGCCGGGGGCCGCCGUUACCAGGGCGCGGAGCAGCGAGCAGCGAGCUACGCUGCCGGCUUUACGGGCUUGGAGGAGACACGGGCAGCGGGGUACCCCCGCCCCGCACACCCAGGCUGAGGGGCUGCUUCAGCCCCUUAAUUUGUUAUUUAAUUGGUUAUUUAUUAUCAUCAUCAUCAUCAUCACCGUCGUCGUUAUUUAGGCUUCCACUCGUCUGAGGUUCAGCGAAGAAAGAGCUCGGAGGGCCGGAAGCCCCCCCAGCAAGGUGCGUAGCUCACUCAAAAUCAAUAGUGGCUGAACUCCCUUGGUCUCUCCCAGGACAACAGAAUUUGCCAGCUGCUCCCUCCAGAAUGUGCCAGAAGGACCCUCUUGACGUCGGCUGGCAAAACCUUGCUGGUCUGUGGAGCUGUGUUUGACGUGGCACAGAGGAACCCUAACCUGACCUCAUCAGUGCCGACACCUCCCCGUCCUUUGGGAAAACAGAGUUGGGCAAUCUGGCCUGUUCUAGUGACUCCUGGCAAAUGCAGGCCAAGCUCUUCGGUCCAGCAGUCACAGCUGGGUAAGCUGUGCGUCGGUCCCAGUUCUUGGGUUAAAACGGCUUCCAAGCAACCUUGCUGUAUAAAUGCUACAUUAAAAUU